GUGGUGAGCCCAGGUGAUGCUAUUCAGGGUAAUGAAGGCCUGCUAGUACUCUCGAUGCCCAGACCCCACUGGCUUUUCUCCUUGUAUAGGAACCUGAGAUAGCAUUUAGAGGGAGUGACGGAUCCCCAGUGAACAAAGUGUCUUCUCUGGAAAAAGCCCUGAGUAGCUCAUGGGUUAUACUUUUCCUUGCUAAACUGGAAAGCUCAGUGUUUCUUUGAGAGAAACUCCUGGUUCCUUAGCAGUUGCUAAGCUGGGAUGCAGUCAACUCCAGGGCAGAGGGAGCAACCUGCGUCUGAAGAGGGCUAAUAUCUGUUGACUCUGAAAAUAAACAUGUACUGUCUUAUGGGGACUGCUGGCACUCUUACAGCUGUGUUUCUGCGUGGUUUGAUGAGCCUGAAGAUUUUCAGCAUCUUUUAAGCAGAACUGUUAUUUUCAAGUCUCCCUGAGCACCAGACAACCCAGAAGAGAAAGCUGGCAUCUUCUCUAGGUUUCCCCCACAACCCACUCCUCCUUACCUUUAGUGGGAAGUGACUUGUGAGAUGAGCAGAAAGAAGCACAGUCUGCUUCCAAGGAGCUUUUGCUAUAAAGAUGCAGUGCUCAGCAGCCCCUCGAGGCUCCCUAAAGACAUUUAGUUAUGGCUGAGGAGUGUGGUGGAUGGCUGAAGUCAUUGGCAGACCAGUGCUCCAUGAUAAUGGAGACAUUAAAUCAGUCAUGGCAGCAUGAACUGCAUAAUAGAUGCAAAAUACAGCAGAAGUCUGAUCCAAUUUCGACUCUCCAUUGUUAAGUGGUGAAGUAUCUCAGGGGAUGGAAAAAUACUAGGAAGUUUGGAGUGCAUUCCCCACGCAGCUUGGCACAAGAGGUAGCAGUCUACAUGCCCGUAACUAUAGAUAUAGAACUUCCAUAUGCAUAUUCUCAUACUGUUUCAAUGAUUGAAAUUGCAUGCUGGAAUUCAGCUGUGGUCAACAAAGACAGAGCCAUAAACACAUGAAAUGGUCCUCCUGGUUCAACUGCAGCUGGUUGGUCUGCUCUAGGACAAGGUAACACUAUCCAAUACUGCCAAUUCCUCUUGAGCACUGCUGUGCUGCAGAAGUUCUUGACAACCAGCUUCCAAGCCAGCUCUCCAGUAAGCACACAGGAGAUAGAUGGAUAAAGUUCCAGCCAAAAUCUGCUAUGAGAGAAAUUGAAAUAAUACUAGUCCAGAAAUGAUGUACAUGCUAUUUUUUUCAAGUGGCUAUGGCAUUUGUUUGGGGAAAAAAUACAGUGUAGUGGAGGUAGAACUUCCUGUACUUGGAGGGCAUCUGCCAUUUUACAAGCAGACUCACAAAGAGAUGCUAGCACUGCAUAGUUGUUUAUGAUCACAGUAAAGGCAGAAGCUCCCAAGAUUAUAACCUUUUCAGUAAGCAGGAAAGGGCUUGCAAGAAGGAGGGAGGAUUUCUAUCUCCCCAUUUUUUCCAUCUCGCAUACCCUAACAAGUUAGCUGGCUCUCUGAAGGUACCUGCAGAUACAAUGUAUGUAUUUGUAUAUACAUCAUAGAACCAUAGAAUAAUAUCCUGAGUCUCAAGGGACCCACAAGGAUCAGGCUUAUACUCCACAUAGGCAAAAUGCUCCAUGCUGGGCUGAGGAAAAAAAGCUUUUUAUGAGAUGCAGAGCCAAUGCUGUUCUCUC
ensembl:lncRNA